rnacentral:rRNA from 1 species
GACGUAGGUGGCGAACGUUAUCCGGAAUUAUUGGGCGUAAAGGAUGCGUAGAUGGUGUAGUAAGUUAUCGGUGGCAAAUCGAGGCUCAACCUCGUGGAAGUCGGUAAUACUGCUAUACUAGAGGAUAGGAGAGGUUAACGGAACUCCCUGUGGAGCGGUGAAAUGCGUAGAUAUAGGGAAGAACACCAAUCAGGCGAAGGCAGUUAACUAUUCUAUUCCUGACAUUGAGGCAUGAAAGCGUGGGGAGCAAAACGG